rnacentral:lncRNA from 1 species
CAGCCCGGAGGGCUUCCUGUGAGGGGCCGCCUGGGAAUGGUGGUCUGAGCCGCCUGGGCUCUGUGUCUCACGCAUGGGUGGGGGGUGCCCAGCCUGUGGCUUCUCUGCGGGGCGUAGCUUGGGGCAGCCAGGGCCCGUGGACAGGACACUGGGGAGGGCCUGGGCCUGGGCCUUCAGGAUUCCUUCUGCAGGGGAGGGGCGCCAGGAAGAGGCUCCCUGCUGGUGGCUGGUGACUCAGGGAGCAGUUUCCUGCGUCCCCCCUGACCUGUUUAGAGGUCAGAGGGGGGUUCUUUUUAUGGUAUUGGGGAUCGAACUCAGGACCUUCUGCUUUUUGAGGCAGGUGCCAGAACUACUGAGCUAAACCCCAGCCCCAAGAGAGGGGGUUCUUGUGUAUCUCCAUGUGUCCUCUGGAAGCUUAGGGCCUGCGUGGUCAGAUUGCUGGCCCUGGCUUCCCCUUCCAGAACUGCAUGAAGGCCCUGCCCUCAGGAACAAGAGUGCUCCAGAUGCCAGGUGCAGGCCACAUUUGGGGUCCUGGCGGAGUGCCCUGCCCUGAGCGCUACCCCGCCCCAGCAUGCUGGCCCAGUAGACCUAGGUCUUCAGGUGUGGUGGGCUGAGCUGCGCUGGCUCUAGCCCUUGCGCCCCUGCCUCUCUCAGCACCCUGGGCAGCCUCCUCUCCUUUUCCUCAGGUUGGGCUGAGUAGGAAGUGUCAGGAGUGCCCACCCCCUUCCUGGCAGGGAGGCCCCCUGGCUUUGUUCUCUCUUGCAUGCCGGUGGCUCAGGUGAAACAGUGGCUUUGUCCCAGCCCCAUAGUCCCAGAGCUGCAGGACUGGAGGAGCUGGGGCUGGUACAAAGCACUGGGUGUGCAGAGCGGAUAGGGGCUGGCCUUGGGCUGUGGGCUGGGUGGUUGAGGAGCUGGCAGUGCCUGGCUGAGGGGCUGUGUCCCCAGGACAGAGGAGCCACGGGCAGGAGGGGAGGUGGAUCUCUCCACCAGGUGGGGUGCCAAGGAGGCGCAGCUGUGGUGAAGCUACUGACCCCUGGAUGGUCUUCCACGUGGCCUACGUGCUCAUCAAGUUUGCCAACUCCCCUCGGCCAGACCUCUGGGUGCUAGAGCGCUCCACAGAUUUCGGCCACACCUACCAGCCGUGGCAGUUCUUCGCCUCCUCCAAGAGGGAUUGCCUGGAGCGAUUCGGGGCUGGGACGCUGGAGCGGAUCACGCAGGAUGAUGAUGUCAUUUGCCCCACCAGUACUCCCGCAUCGUGCCCCUGGAGAACGGC